CUAGAGAGCAGCAUGAUCAAGCUUUGCCUGUAGAAGAGUAACUGAGCAUCAUGUGCAGAAUGGAUGAGAGAGAAGCAGCAGAGAGACAGCAAGGCCAUUCAGCAAGCUCAGGUGGCAGGUCCCAUCUGAUGGAGGAGAAUCAAUUCAAGGAGAUGCCCUCCCUUUACAGCACACCCUUUAACAGCAUCCAGGAGGAACGAGAGGCUGCAAUGCUGAGGCUUUCAAAGUACUCACAAGGAUGCCCGAGAAUGGCUGUGAUGCCGGGCUUCUGGCAGGUUCCAGACUCCAUCACAAGCCCAGCAUCCCUGCACCAGAUCUGACAUCGCUGCUGCUGUGCCAGCUGUUUAUGAAGGGCCUGAGUGGCUAGCAGGUUUUUAUCAGGAGCCUUGCUGGGGGCUUAGACACCAAAAGAGAAGUCUCAUCCUCUGUAGUUCUUCUUGUGAAUGUCCUUUUAGAAAAACAAUUAGAACCAACCACAACCACCAAAGU
rnacentral:sRNA from 1 species